rnacentral:pre_miRNA from 1 species
AAACUACUCCCUCUGUCCCAAAUUUCUUGUCUUAGAUUUGUCUAUAUACGGAUGUAUCUAAUACUAAAAUGUGACUUGAUACAUUCGUAUCUAGACAAAUCUAAGACAAGAAAUUUGGGACAGAGGGAGUAGUUG